UACGGAGGGUGCAAACGUUGCUCGGAAUUAUUGGGCGUAAAGCGCACGUAGGCGGACCAUCAAGUCGGAUGUGAAAUCCCUCGGCUUAACCGAGGACGUGCAUUCGAUACUGAUGGUCUUGAGUACGAAAGAGGAUCGCGGAAUUCCCGGUGUAGAGGUGAAAUUCGUAGAUAUCGGGAGGAACACCAGUGGCGAAGGCGGCGAUCUGGGUCGAUACUGACGCUGAGGUGCGAAAGCGUGGGGAGCAAACAGG
rnacentral:rRNA from 1 species